rnacentral:rRNA from 1 species
UAUUUAUUUAUUAACAUCCUUCCCUUUUUUUUGGUUUAUACCCCGUUCUGAUGAACGCUGGCGGCGUGCCUAAUACAUUCAAGUCGAACGCUCUGUGGUUCAACUGAUUUGAAGAGCUUGCUCAGAUAUGACGAUGGACAUUGCAAAGAGUGGCGCACGGGUGAGUAACACGUGGGAAACCUACCUCUUAGCACGGGAUAACAUUCGGAAACAGAUGCUAAUACCGUAUAACAAUAGCAACCGCAUGGUUGCUACUUAAAAGAUGGUUCUGCUAUCACUAAGAGAUGGUCCCGCGGUGCAUUAGUUAGUUGGUGAGGUAAUGGCUCACCAAGACGAUGAUGCAUAGCCGAGUUGAGAGACUGAUCGGCCACAAUGGGAAUGAGACACGGCCCAUACUCAUACGGGAGGCAGCAGUAGGGAAUCUUCCACAAUGGGCGAAAGCCUGAUGGAGCAACGCCGCGUGUGUGAUGAAGGGUUUCGGCUCGUAAAACACUGUUGUAAGAGAAGAAUGACAUUGAGAGUAACUGUUCAAUGUGUGACGGUAUCUUACCAGAAAGGAACGGCUAAAUACGCGCCAGCAGCCGCGGUAAUACGUAUGUUCCAAGCGUUAUCCGGAUUUAUUGGGCGUAAAGCGAGCGCAGACGGUUAUUUAAGUCUGAAGUGAAAGCCCUCAGCUCAUCUGAGGAAUUGCUUUGGAAACUGGAUGACUUGAGUGCAGUAGAGGAAAGUGGAACUCCAUGUGUAGCGGUGAAAUGCGUAGAUAUAUGGAAGAACACCAGUGGCGAAGGCGGCUUUCCGGACUGUAACUGACGUGCAGCUCGAAAACGUUGAACCCGGCU